UUUGAAGAGAGAGUUAAAGAGGACGUGAAACCGGUGGGGUGGAAACGGAUAGAGCCGGCGUUCUGACUCGUAUUCAGCGGUUCGGCUUGCGGUGGCUUUCGGUGCUCUGUUCGAGUUACUGUUGGACUUAUGCUCGUUGUUCUGCGUAUUUGCGGGUGGAGAGCACUGAGGGGCGUUGGAGUGGGGGCGAUAGAUUCGUUCAGAGGAAGUGCUUGCAGAGAUCCUGCUCGUCUCGAUCGCGCUCUACUCUGACGUCACUGCCAGGGGAGUGGUGUGAAGCGGAUUGGGUUGAUUGCAAGGCUUGAUGGUCCACGCGAUCAUCCUGCCCAGUUUGGCGAUUGGCUCUCUCUGUGGAGCAUUGUUCUCACCUCGGUGUAGCUGCGGUCACCUAUCCGACCCGUCUUGAAACACGGACCAAGGAGUUUAGCGUAUGCGCGAGUCAAUGGGCGGCAAACCCAAAGGCGCAAUGAAAGUAACGAAUGCGAUCCAUCUCUUGAGAUGGAGCAGCAUUGCCCUGCGGGGCUCACUGCGGUGUCCCUGCUGAGGCGGAGCGUAUGCGAUGAGACCCGAAAGAUGGUGAACUAUUCCCGAGCAGGACGAAGCCCGGGGGAAACUCCGNUGG
rnacentral:rRNA from 1 species